rnacentral:rRNA from 1 species
GACGAACGCUGGCGGCGUGCUUAACACAUGCAAGUCGAACGGUAAGGCCCUUCGGGGUACACGAGUGGCGAACGGGUGAGUAACACGUGGGUGAUCUGCCCUGCACUUCGGGAUAAGCCUGGGAAACUGGGUCUAAUACCGGAUAGGACCACUGCCUGCAUGGGUGGUGGUGGAAAGCUUUUGCGGUGUGGGAUGGGCCCGCGGCCUAUCAGCUCGUUGGUGGGGUGAUGGCCUACCAAGGCGACGACGGGUAGCCGGCCUGAGAGGGUGACCGGCCACACGGGGACGGGGAUACGGCCCAGACUCCUACGGGAGGCAGCAGUGGGGAAUAUUGCACAAUGGGCGCAAGCCUGAUGCAGCGACGCCGCGUGAGGGAUGACGGCCUUCGAGUUGUAAACCUCUUUCAGCACCGACGAAGCGCAAGUGACGGUAGGUGCAGAAGAAGGACCGGCCAACUACGUGCCAGCCGCCGCGGUAA